CGGUAAUUCCAGCUCCAAUAGCGUAUACUAAAGUUGUUGCAGUUAAAAAGCUCGUAGUUGGAUUUCUGCGGGGACGGAGCGGCCGGACGCAACUUGCGUCUCGAGCUAGCGCUUUCCCCGCAUCCUGCCGCGAACCGUGCUACCAUUAGUUUGGUGGCGCUGGGGAUCGGCUCGAUUACUUUGAGAAAAAUAGAGUGUUCAAAGCAGGCCACACGCCUUGAAUAAGUUAGCAUGGAAUAAUGACUAAGGACUUUGGUUCUUUUCGUUGGUGUUCGGGACUGAAGUAAUGAUUGAUAGGGACAGUUGGGGCGGUCCGUAUUCCAAAGCGAGAGGUGAAAUUCUUAGACCUUCGGAAGACGAACAGCUGCGAAAGCGUUCCGCAAGGAUGUUCCCUUUGAUCAAGAACGAAAGUUGGGGGAUCGAAGACGAUCAGAUACCGUCGUAGUCUCAACUAUAAACUAUACCAGCUAGGGAUCGGCCAACGUUUAAUUAUUCGACUUGGUCGGCACCUUAUGAGAAAUCAAAGCAUCUGGGUUCCGGGGGGAGUAUGGUCGCAAGGCUGAAACUUAAAGGAAUUGACGGAAGGGCACCACCAGGCGUGGAGCCUGUGGCUUAAUUUGACUCAACACGGGAAAACUUACCAGGUCCAGACAUAGGAAGGAUUGACAGAUUGAUAGCUCUUUCUUGAUUCUGUGGGUGGUGGUGCAUGGCCGUUUUUAGUCGGUGAAGUGAUUUGUCUGCUUAAUUGCGUUAACGGACGAGACCCCAGCCUGCUAAAUAGCGCGGCCGAGCUUUGCUCGGUACGAGCUUCUUAGAGGGACCAUGAUGCGCGAUAGCACAAGGAAGUUUGGGGCAACAACAGGUCUGUGAUGCCCUUAGAUGUUCUGGUCCGCACACGGGCUACACUGGCGCCUGCAACGAGCAUAUCAGCUGGCCCGAGAGGGUCUUGGCUAAUCUUUGGAACCGGCGCCGUGCUUGGGAUUGACCAUUGCAAUUGUUGGUCAUGCAACGAGGAAUGCCUUGUAAACGCGAGUCAUCAGCUCGCAUUGAAUACGUCCCUGCCCUUUGUACACACCGCCCGUCGCUCCUACCGAUGAAUGUUCCGAUGAAAUUUUCGGAGAGCGCCGGAGAACGGGGCUCUGCCCUGCAGAACUGGAGGCUCAAAGUCACUUAAAUCUGAACAUUUCGAGGAAGGAGAAGUCGUAACAAGGUAACC
rnacentral:rRNA from 1 species